UACGUAGGGGGCAAGCGUUGUCCGGAUUUAUUGGGCGUAAAGAGCGUGUAGGCGGCCAUGUAGGUCCGUUGUGAAAACUCGAGGCUCAACCUCGAGACGCCGAUGGAAACCAUGUGGCUAGAGUCCGGAAGAGGAGAGUGGAAUUCCUGGUGUAGCGGUGAAUGCGCAGAUAUCAGGAAGAACACCCGUGGCUAAGGCGGCUCUCUAGUACGGUACUGACGCUGAGACGCGAAAGCGUGGGAGCGAACAGG
rnacentral:rRNA from 1 species